AGUGAACGCUGGCGGUAGGCCUAACACAUGCAAGUCGAACGGCAGCACAGUAAGAGCUUGCUCUUACGGGUGGCGAGUGGCGGACGGGUGAGGAAUACAUCGGAAUCUACUUUUUCGUGGGGGAUAACGUAGGGAAACUUACGCUAAUACCGCAUACGACCUACGGGUGAAAGCAGUGGAUCUUCGGACCUUGCGCGAUUGAAUGAGCCGAUGUCGGAUUAGCUAGUUGGCGGGGUAAAGGCCCACCAAGGCGACGAUCCGUAGCUGGUCUGAGUGGAUGGUCAGCCACACUGGAACUGAGACACGGACCAGACUCCUACGGGAGGCAGCAGUGGGGAAUAUUGGGCAAUGGGCGCAAGCAUGAUCCAGCCAUACCGCGUGGGUGAAGAAGGCCUUCGGGUUGGAAAGACCUUUUGUUGGGAAAGAAAAGCAGCAGGUUAAUACCCCGCUGUUCUGACGGUACCCAAAGAAUAAGCACCGGCUAACUUCGUG
rnacentral:rRNA from 1 species